rnacentral:rRNA from 1 species
GACGAACGCUGGCGGCGUGCUUAACACAUGCAAGUCGAACGGAAAGGCCCUGCUUUUGUGGGGUGCUCGAGUGGCGAACGGGUGAGUAACACGUGAGUAACCUUCCCUUGACUUUGGGAUAACUUCAGGAAACUGGGGCUAAUACCGGAUAGGAGCUCCUGCUGCAUGGUGGGGGUUGGAAAGUUUCGGCGGUUGGGGAUGGACUCGCGGCUUAUCAGCUUGUUGGUGGGGUAGUGGCUUACCAAGGCUUUGACGGGUAGCCGGCCUGAGAGGGUGACCGGCCACAUUGGGACUGAGAGACGGCCCAGAAUCCUACGGGAGGCAGCAGUGGGGAAUAUUGCACAAUGGGCGGAAGCCUGAUGCAGAAACGCCGCGUGCGGGAUGACGGCCUUCGGGUUGUAAACCGCUUUCGCCUGUGACGAAGCGUGAGUGACGGUAAUGGGUAAAGAAGCACCGGCUAACUACGUG